GGGUUAUUGAGUUAUCUUGCGGAAGGGUUUUGUUCUUAGUGUUGAGGUGAAUUAACUAGCCCCUUUUGGAUCUCUUCUCUCGAUCGCUUCAGAUAACAUAAUCCUUCAUUUACAAUAAGUCCAAUCAAAUAUCAAAUAUGUGUUCCGAGUGUAUCUUACAGUUAGUCAAUGGCUUCUCAAAAAUUGUGGUUUCUGUAACUCGGUGUGGUUGGAUUCUUGAAUAUUGAGUAGUGGUUUAAUGGUGGGAUAUGAAUUGCAUGUGGGUGUAACGGGAUUUUGGUUAUAUAGAAGAGAAUUGAUGUUCGUGAUGUAUGGUUGAAUAUUUGCAAGUUCUUGUUUGUUCUUUGCGUUUCUUGUAUAUAUAUGCUGACUACUGUUUUAGUGGAAGUAGCAUGGGAUUGUAUGUCGUGUUGGUUUUUACUCUCGCCGAGAAUCUUAUUGUAAAUCAAAUUAAAUUUGAUUGCUGUAGAAGUAUUUCGUCUUUAGUAAAUUUAAUUCUGAAAUUGCUAGGAACCAAAUUGAUUUAUAAUUUAGGAGUGAAAUGUGAGAAUGAAUGGUGAAAAUUUAGAGGAAUUUUACUAACUAAAAAGAGAGUGACAUAAAUAGGAGAUGCAUGUUAUUAAAGAAUUUUUCUAUUUCCAAGGAGGCAUAAACUUCUAAACUCUCUGUCUUUUGUCAUACUUUAUUAUGAUAUGAUAUUGUUAGGUUAUUCUAGCAAUGGGGAAGGAUUCAAAACCAAAGGAUGCAGGAGGGAAGGGCAAAGGAAAGCAGGCGGCAGGUGCAAGUGAUGAUAGUGCUUCAAAGGGCAAAGGGAAAGCUGGAAAAGCAGAUGGACUUGGCACCUGCACAUAUGUAAAAGCAAGGCAUAUCUUAUGUGAGAAGCAAGGUAAAAUCAAUGAAGCAUACAAGAAGCUGCAAGAUGGUUGGCUUAGCAAUGGAGACAAAGUCCCACCUGCUGAGUUUGCAAAGCUGGCAGCAGAAUAUUCAGAGUGUCCUUCUGGAAAGAAGGGUGGAGACCUUGGAUGGUUUCCACGUGGAAAGAUGGCUGGUCCAUUCCAGGAAGUUGCCUUCAGCACAGUUGUUGGAGCUACCAGUGCACCGUUUAAAUCAACGUGAGUUUUGACCUUCGUCCCUCCUCCUUGUAAUUCUAUAUUCCUCUUGCAUAUUUUUGUGUACAUUGGUAGGACUAAUUCUCGAUUCCUGUGCAGUCAUGGAUAUCACAUAAUUUUAUGUGAAGGGAGAAAGAAUUGAUGUAAUGCAGUCAAGGGGCUCAAAACUGUAUGCUGUAGAUGGGUAUUGACAUCUUUUUACCUUGGAAAUCGAAGUGAGGUUAAUCAAUAUUGUGAUGCUUGAUUAGAAUACCCUACUAAGAAAGAGUUUCAUGAAUAUAUUAGGAGAUGAAUAUCUGAAUGUUGAUCAGUUUCUUUGCCUCCCCAUGUUCAUUUACAAUAAUGAGGAUGUAUUUAAGAGAAUUAUGAGAGAAACUCUUGAGAUUUGAUGAAAUUAAGUUAUGUUUUGUUGGAUUUAAUACAAUGAAAUAAUCAGUAGUGUAGUUAAAUAAAAUGUAAUGGUUACUUUCUGUUUAUGUUGGUUGCAAAAAUAGAUAAAUGCAAUGAAA
rnacentral:misc_RNA from 1 species